UACAGAGGUCUCAAGCGUUGUUCGGAUUCAUUGGGCGUAAAGGGUGUGUAGGUGGCGCCGUAAGUCGGGUGUGAAAUUUCGGAGCUUAACUCCGAAACUGCAUUCGAUACUGCGGUGCUUGAGGACUGGAGAGGAGACUGGAAUUCAUGGUGUAGCAGUGAAAUGCGUAGAGAUCAUGGAGGAAGACCAGUGGCGAAGGCGG
rnacentral:rRNA from 1 species